rnacentral:rRNA from 1 species
GACGAACGCUGGCGGCGUGCUUAACACAUGCAAGUCGAACGGUAAGGCCCUUCGGGGUACACGAGUGGCGAACGGGUGAGUAACACGUGGGUGAUCUGCCCUGCACUUCGGGAUAAGCCUGGGAAACUGGGUCUAAUACCGGAUAGGACCACUGCCUGCAUGGGUGGUGGUGGAAAGCUUUUGCGGUGUGGGAUGGGCCCGCGGCCUAUCAGCUUGUUGGUGGGGUGAUGGCCUACCAAGGCGACGACGGGUAGCCGGCCUGAGAGGGUGACCGGCCACACUGGGACUGAGGUACGGCCCAGACUCCUACGGGAGGCAGCAGUGGGGAAUAUUGCACAAUGGGCGCAAGCCUGAUGCAGCGACGCCGCGUGGGGGAUGCCGGCCUUCGGGUUGUAAACCUCUUUCAGCACCGACGAAGCGCAAGUGACGGUAGGUGCAGAAGAAGGACCGGCCAACUACGUGCCAGCCGCAGCAGUAA